GACGAACGCUGGCGGCGUGCUUAACACAUGCAAGUCGAACGGAAAGGCCCUGCUUUUGUGGGGUGCUCGAGUGGCGAACGGGUGAGUAACACGUGAGUAACCUGCCCUUGACUUUGGGAUAACUUCAGGAAGCUGGGGCUAAUACCGGAUAGGAGCUCCUGCUGCAUGGUGGGGGUUGGAAAGUUUCGGCGGUUGGGGAUGGACUCGCGGCUUACCAGCUUGUUGGUGGGGUAGUGGCUUACCAAGGCUUUGACGGGUAGCCGGCCUGAGAGGGUGACCGGCCACAUUGGGACUGAGAUACGGCCCAGACUCCUACGGGAGGCAGCAGUGGGGAAUAUUGCACAAUGGGCGGAAGCCUGAUGCAGCAACGCCGCGUGCGGGAUGACGGCCUUCGGGUUGUAAACCGCUUUCGCCUGUGACGAAGCGUGAGUGACGGUAAUGGGUAAAGAAGCACCGGCUAACUACGUG
rnacentral:rRNA from 1 species